CCAGUACAGCAGGCGGUCAGCAUCCACGUACCAGUACAGGAGUGUAUUUCCCCUCUCUAACCACCCUCCUUCCCACUCAGCUCACCAUUGUCCAGUUCCUGCCUUUCCAGACAUUUUGCUGGAUGGCACUGGGCAAAAGAAGAAUCACUUUUAGAAGUCAGUCAGUGGUUGGCCAGGUCACCACAGGAUCUGGGAGCUUGCUGCAAACAGCACAGACAUCACAGUUAACAGAACCUUAUGUAAUGGUCAGUGGAACUGUGACAGUUCAGUAACAAGUCAAGUCAGCCCAAUCCACUUUAGGGGCUCUGUGGCCGCCCAAAGUAACAAAUUGUAACACUUUUCUGAUGAAUAUUUAUAUCCUGGCUAAUAAGUACGUGUGUUAUCUUGAGCCAACCAUGCAGGGUACAGGAAGGAUGUGAUUUUAAAAAUAAAGCUGCCAGAUUAUUUUUCCUGUAGACAGAACUGAAGCAUGAUUUCCACUGCUCUGAUGCCAUUGCUGAAUGAAGAGGUGCAAAAAUCCCAUCUUUUUGCCCUUUCUGCAGAAUAAUGCCAGAUCUGCUGCUUGGCCAACCUGUGGUAUAGUCUUGGCUGUAAAUCAGCCUUGCCAGCUCUUCUUGUAUCUGACCACUGAAAUCACUGAUCUAAAUCUGAAGUUCAAACUUCCUGCUGUUUUGCUUAAGGCAGCACAAGACGUGUUUUAAUUAACUGCUUUGAUCCAAUUCUGUGGAUCUAAAACGAGUAAGCAAUAAUGCAGUAGUUUCUUGUGCAUAAUUCUGAUACAAUUUUCACACAGCUGUCAUCUGGGCACCAGAAUUAUUGCAACCUAGUUGGGAUAUAGGCAAGAAAUAAGAAAUAUGUAUAGAGAUUAAGACCAUAUUACUAAAAAUUCAUAGUUAUCUCAUGAGGCUUUCCUUAGGGCCUCAAAUAUCCACUUCUCUGAAAGCCUGUUUCUAGCAUCACUGACACAUAUUAUAUGCAAAGCUGGAUGCCAAUAAGCAUUUAUUGUCUUGUGCUCCUCUCACUUUAUGCAACAAACAUUUGAACUUAGCAGUAGUAAUGCUUACAGUAGUUAUGGUAAUUGCAAAGUUAUUGAUACUGAAUUCUGUAUUGCUUUAUAAUCUGUAGUUUUUUUAACUUAGAUCAUGAUUUAAGAAUAGCUUUGCCAUGGUGUUUAGCAUUUCACUUCCCCACCUCUGGCAGGACUGCCUUCAUUGAAGACAUUCCAGUGAAUCUCUCCAGUCCACAUACAAAUUAAACACCAACAGUUUUGGCUCAGAAGGGGCCAGUUCCUGUUCCAGAAACUCAGACAUUACAUACCAUAUCUUGUCACUUGAUACUGGUUGUCUGUAGGAAGCAGUCAGCCAGGAAGCUUAUCAUCUGGGGACCAAAUCAGCACUAGUGUCAUAGCUACAGAUCUAAAACAGCAACAGCAAUGUGAGGAUUAAUACCCAUUUACCAAAAGGAUGACUAAUCAUGGUGAAAUGCAAUAUUGUCAUCCAUUGCUACACGUUAAGAAAGCACUUCUCCAAAUCUGCUUGCAGCCUUGAGUGGCUUGUUAAACUGGAUGCCAAAUGUUUAGGGCCUUCCUUAGUUGAAAUGAAACCGUUGUCUUUUCAGACUAAUCCUUUGUGAUAAGCAAAGCAAGCAAUAAACUAUUGAAUAUGCUUACAAAGAUCAGUAAUAAAGAUAACAGAACUAGAGACCCUCAGGUGGGAUUGUGAGAGCUGGCUCAUCUGCUGUAUGCACAGAUUCUGUAAAUCUUGAUUGUAUGCACAGCUCCUCCUGAAUUUGCCCUGCAGCAAAAUCACGUGUUCUGUGACACAACCACAACAGAGUCUACAGUAACUAAAAAUAAACUGCUUCUCUGCAAAUUCAUGGCUCAGUUUAGUCCAGCUUGUAAAUAGCUUUUCAGCAUUGGUCAGCAAACACUGUUCCUUGUGAUUAUCACAUUAUGCACAACCUCACUAACUGUCAUUAGAGUUGGCUAUUUUAGUAUCUUCACAUAUUGCAACACGUGGGUCUGGCCCCAGAUGAUUGUUUAGUAAGUCAUGAGUUCUCUUACCAGCUUUUGUUACCCACAUUUGUGUAUCUGACCCAGCUGCUUUGCCAUUUCCUUGAGAGCUUGCAGGUCGUCAGAGUUGCCUGACAAAUCUGUUACUGUUUCCAUGCCUGUGGUACUAAAUGUGUUGUACCUGGAUGGUGGGAAAGCUGGAUAAUCAGUCACAUUUCCAGUAUCUCCACAUAAGCAAUUAGGAACAUCUACCCCAAAGCUGUAGGCCACACAGAGCUAUAGGCACAGUGAACCUUAAUGUUUCUUUAAUCAGCAUCUGGUAACAAGUGAUUCAUAACCAAGCAAACUCAAGUAACUUCAACUGAAAAACAAGCACCCAAGAAGAAACAUUGUUUGCAUUGAGGUGCAAAUAACUAACACAGAAAAAUAUCAAAAUAUUUGUCUCAACGACUCAGACAUAAUGUGACUUGUCCACAAGAUGGCAGGCACUGUACCCAGAAGGGGCUGACAGCAAAGUACCAUCUGUGGGACAAAAAAACCCUUCCUUGGAAUUGUCCUUCUUAACUUCCUUAUCCUUCUAGGCAAGCACAGAAGAAAACCUGUCUGUAAUUACUUUCUUGAUCUAAAAAUCUGCUUGUCUCAGAGAUGAGCAAAGACUUCAGUUCAUGUGGAAAACAGAUAAUGUCUGUCAUCCAGGGGAACUAGUUUUUCUCUUUGAGAUUUCAGGUGGCUGCAACCAAGUUAAGUCAUACACAAGAGGCACAGGCACUGCAGGGAGAAAGAUUAUAACCUUACCAGACAUCUGUUUUUUACCAGUCUCUAGAUUACUGCCUGGAAGAAGCAGACAGUGGGAAGGGAAAGAGCUGAGAAUUCUGAAAGGACUGACCAAAGAAAAACUCAGAAUGAAGAUGGCAGUGCUUCAUAGGAAGAGGAGAGCCAAGAAUGGCCCGUGUGCUGCAGGGCGAGGGUUGCUCCGUGUCAGUGCUGCUUC